rnacentral:rRNA from 1 species
GGCGCACGGGUGAGUAACGCGUAUCCAACUUCCCUAUAGUAAGAGAAUAGCCCGGCGAAAGUCGGAUUAAUGCUCUAUGUUGUGUUUUGAGGACAUCUGACGAACACCAAAGGUUCACCGCUAUAGGAUGGGGAUGCGUCUGAUUAGCUUGUGGCGGGGUAACGGCCCACCAAGGCGACGAUCAGUAGGGGUUCUGACGAGGAAGGUCCCCCACAUUGGUACUGAGACACGGACCAAACUCCUACGGGAGGCAGCAGUGAGGAAUAUUGGUCAAUGGGCGAGAGCCUGAACCAGCCAAGUAGCGUGCAGGAAUGACUGCCCUAUGGGUUGUAAACUGCUUUUAUCAGGGAAUAAAGUGCGGCACGUGUGCCGUUUUGUAUGUACCUGAUGAAUAAGGACCGGCUAAUUCCGUGCCAGCCGCAGC